rnacentral:rRNA from 1 species
UACGUAGGGGCGAGCGUUGUCCGGAGUUACUGGGCGUAAAGGGCGUGCAGGCGGUGCGGUAAGUUUAGCGUGACAGUCUCCGGCUUAACUGGAGAAGGCCGCUGAAAACUGCUGGACUUGAGGGCCAGAGAGGGACAUAGAAUUCCGGGUGGAGUGGUGAAAUGCGUAGAUAUCCGGAGGAAUACCAAAGGCGAAGGCAGUGUCCUGGCUGGCAACUGACGCUGAGGCGCGAAAGCGUGGGGAGCAAACAGG